GGGGUUGUGGCUCAGUGGUAGAGCACUUGCCUUGCAGGCAUGAGUCAUUGGGUUCCAUCCUCAACACCA
rnacentral:tRNA from 1 species